AUGUCAGUGACAAAACGGCAGGCUGCCGUACGUCAGAGGAUCCUCACCCUUGGUCACCGUCCCGCACAAACCCUACCCUUUCAAGGGCUCCCAGAUCGAUGCAGCCGCCUCCCUUAUCCCUCUCUUCCUCCCCCAAUGCGCCGGCCGCCGCCACCUGCCAUACCGCGUCCCCGCUGCGGCCAUGGCCUCUUCAAGAGGCACGCCCCUCCAUGGUCAGAAGCAGCAGACCAGGAUCCGGAUGAGGAAGAGGAGAUCCGGGCGCCCCAACGGUGGAUCGAUCGAUGCCCGGAUGAGGAAGAGGAGAUCCAGGCGCCCCAAUGGUGGAUCGAUCGUUGCGAGGUGACGACGAGCUCCUCCGGACGUGGGGGAGCAGUGAGGCUGGAGAUCCAGUCGGUGCAUGCCCCACGGGGUUGGGGAGACGCCGGCAAUAGGGGCAAGGUGCAUCAGGGUCGAAGCUGCAGCGCUCCGGUCCCCAAGCCGCCUCCAGGCUCGCUUCCUCCUCCAUCCUCCCGCAUCUCAUCCAUCUCGACGGAUACGAGGCGUGCGGGCACGGAGGCGAGGUUCUCCGGCGGCGGCGGGAACCUCCAGGCAGAGAGCGACCCCAUGGAUCCGUCCCUGCAGAAGAGAAGGAAGGAGAGGAGACAGGCCAUGGAGAUGGGAUGA
rnacentral:rRNA from 1 species